AACGAACGCUGGCGGCAUGCCUAACACAUGCAAGUCGAACGAAGUCUUCGGACUUAGUGGCGCACGGGUGCGUAACGCGUGGGAAUCUGCCCUUGGGUGCGGAAUAACUUCUCGAAAGGGAUGCUAAUACCGCAUAAUGUCGUAAGACCAAAGAUUUAUCGCCCAAGGAUGAGCCCGCGUAAGAUUAGCUAGUUGGUGGGUAAAAGCCUACCAAGGCGACGAUCUUUAGCUGGUCUGAGAGGAUGAUCAGCCACACUGGGACUGAGACACGGCCCAGACUCCUACGGAGGCAACAGUGGGGAAUAUUGGACAAUGGGCGAAAGCCUGAUCCAGCAAUGCGCGUGAGUGAUGAAGCCUAGGUGUAAAGCUCUUUACCAGGGAUGAUAAUGACAGU
rnacentral:rRNA from 1 species